UAGUUCAGACAAUUUCCACAAGGAAACAGUCUCGUAUUUAGGAUUUGUUUUUUCACAAGAUCUAGGGUUGUGUUUCGAGUUUUCAGAGCCAUAAGUGAGGUGUUCGAAGGAUACGAGCGCCAAUACUGCAAGCUCUCUGCAAAUCUUUCAAGAAUAUGCAACUCAACUUCUCUCCUUUCCGAUACAGAUCAGAAGAAGGAAAAGGUUCCGGAGAUAAAAUCUGGUCUAGAUGAUGCUGACGUUUUGCCAAUUUAUAAUCAACUUCUAUCAAGCCGCCAAAGGAGAUUCUCAAAUGCCUAGGACAACCACAUGCGCCUCCUGGGAUCACAACAGCCCCGUGCUUAUAAGCAAGCCAACAAACAACCGCAUAGUCAUCUGGUAUUUAUUAGAACAUAUGCAGAACAGUCUGGAAUUUAUUAGGAUAAGAACUUUGAGUCAAAACAACGUCAAUGGCACUAUCCUUGAGUCACUUAUAAGUCUUUCAAACUUGAUCAAUAUGUAAGUGAUUCCAGAGAGCAACUGACGCCUGCAUUAAGUAUAAAUAAUUUUUUUCUAAGUUUUUGAUUCCAUAGUUGAACUUCUUUUUGAAGUCAGCAUGAUUCCAAUAAUCUCAGCAGUCAAAUUCCUGCACAUUUAUUCCAAAUUCUUUCACGGGAAAUCAUUUGAAUUGUGAUAAAAAUCUUCCCCACCCCAUGAAUCUAGGAAUAAUGAUUCAGGUGGUUUAAAGAAGCCCAUUAUCAGAAUUAUAGUUGGGAUUAUUGGAGGAUUUCAUAUUCUUUUUGGAGCCUCUCUAUUUUUCUUGUGCAAGGCUAAACAUAAAGGCUACUGGCGUGAAGUAUUUGUAGAUGUUGCAGUUUUCCUUUUCAGUAUUUGGCUUAAAUUUUUGGAGCAUUUGUGCAUGGCUUAAACAAUAUUUUCAUUCGGAUGGUGAUGAACAAUGAAGUAAUCUUUAUGC